GAUGAACGCUAGCGGAGGCCUAAUACAUGCAAGUCGAACGGUAAGGUCCCUUCGGGGAUACACGAGUGGCGGACGGGUGCGUAACGCGUACGAAACAUACCUUCAACAGGGAGAUACCUCCGGGAAACUGGAAAUAAUACCCCAUAGUAUUGAGAUAUCGCAUGAUAUUUCAAUUAAAGCUUUGGCGGUUGAAGAUUGUCGUGCGUCUGAUUAGCUAGUUGGUGAGGUAACGGCUCACCAAGGCGACGAUCAGUAGCUGGUCUGAGAGGAUGAUCAGCCACACUGGAACUGAGACACGGUCCAGACUCCUACGGGAGGCAGCAGUAGGGAAUAUUGGACAAUGGGCGGA
rnacentral:rRNA from 1 species